AUAUUCACGAAUACCUUCUGGAAAUGCGUGAUUAUUUCAAAAAUCUGCAUUAUCCACACAAAGUGUAUUGCAUUGAUGGGAUGAUAAUUACAAUCUCAUCGGUAAUUGCUUUGGCAGAAAAUAUUUGGAGUGACAACAAUGAUCUUUUCUUUAUUGCCACAUCCAAAUUGCACCAAGACCCAUUAGAAAAUUUAUUUUAUUUAAUUAGAAGUCGGGGAGCGACAAAUACCAAUCCCACCAUUUUUGAAUUUAAUUCUAUAAUAUCAAGAAUGUUAUCUAUGAAAAUAUUAACAUCAGCAUCUGUGUCUGGAAAUUGCAUUCAUGUUGGCCAAUAUCAUAGAAGAUAGUGGGUCUCAACUAUCUGUAUUUCAUGACCAAUGUAAUUCACGUCAUACUGCUACAGAUAUUGAACCUGAUGCUGAUUUAGAAAUAGAAUUGUCAUUAGAUGCCACGAUUGCUAAUAUACAAAAUGCUUUUAAUGAAAAUGCAUUGCGAUAUUUUGCUGGCUAUCUUCUACACAAGCUGUUGCAAAGAACAGAUUGCGAAGUAUGUACAAAUCUUUUAAAGUCAUCAGAUGAAAUGCAGUGUUCUUCUGAGUAUUUAAUACUCAAUAAAAAUUAUCAUUAUAUAAAUAAAUAUCUUAAGUUGAAAGCCCCUUCUGACCUUUUCUAUAAUAUGAUAAAACUGCAUUUCGAAACGUUUAAGACCAUUUUUGAAAAGAAACCAUAUAUGCCACGUAUCAAAGAGAAAAUUGUUCUGUACUGCAUGCACGCUACAGCAAAAUCGUCUUUAGAUACUGAAUGGUUUUCUCCCACCCACCCUUGUUUUGAGCAUAGGAAAUUUAUUCUUAAUCAGUUUGUCUUAAUUCUUAUUAGGAAGAAUUGUAAAUGGCAAACUGAAAAAAUUGUUGGUAAAACCAGCAUAAGUAAAAGAAAAUUAAAAAUAAUACAUCAAUAGGGAACUUGACUUUAUAUUAAUUUUGGCACAAUUCUUAACAGAAGAAAACAGUGAGGUUUUAAUGAAAGGUCGUUAACACUCCCUCUGCAGAUUUAAUCCAAAAUCGUUUGCACAAUUAAAAGCCCUUGGCAGGCACAAACCUUAUUAUAUGUAUGUAAGAAAGUACGUAUAUAUAUGUAUAUACAUACAUAUGUGUGUAUGCAUGUACAUACAUAUAUACGUACUUACAAUAUUUCAUAGGAAUAUUUCAGCAGCAUAGCGAUUCUCACAUACAUAUGUACAUACAUAUGUAAUUAGAUAUGUAUACAUUCUGGUAUAUGUAUGUACUCUUCAAGAAGAAGUGCAAUGAAGGGAAAUGGACUGGCUUGAGCGGACAAACAUAUGUACAUAUAAAUUUACAAAUUAUAUUAUUCCAAU